rnacentral:rRNA from 1 species
GACGAACGCUGGCGGCGUGCUUAACACAUGCAAGUCGAACGGAAAGGCCCUGCUUUUGUGGGGUGCUCGAGUGGCGAACGGGUGAGUAACACGUGAGUAACCUGCCCUUGACUUUGGGAUAACUGCAGGAAACUGGGGCUAAUACCGGAUAGGAGCUCCUGCUGCAUGGUGGGGGUUGGAAAGUUUCGGCGGUGGGGGAUGGACGCGCGGUUUAUCAGCUUGUUGGUGGGGUAGUGGCUAACCAAGGCUUUGACGGGUAGCCGGCCUGAGAGGGUGAACAGCCACAUGGGGACUGAGAUACGGACCAGACUCCUACGGGAGGCAGCAGUGGGGAAUAUUGCACAAUGGGCGGAAGCCUGAUGCAGCAACGCCGCGUGCGGGAUGACGGCCUUCGGGUUGUAAACCGCUUUCGCCUGUGACGAAGCGUGAGUGACGGUAAUGGGUAAAGAAGCACCGGCUAACUACGUG